ACGUUCGUCUUCCUUCUCUUUCGGUUCAGCUUCCAAGUUUCUGCAAUAUAUAACUCAAAUCCCGGCAGUGCCUUCAGUGACCACCUCAACAGAUCAUGACUAAAUCAUUCAGUCUCACGUGUUUGUGAAGUCCCACAAAUCGAAUGCUUACUUCAAGAGGUACCAAGUGAAGUUCAAUAGAAGAAGAGGUAUCAGGAGAAUCUGAUUAGAGAGAAUUAUUCGUUCUCUAACACUGUGAGGAGACUUCAAAGAGAUGUGGUGAUUUGACUCAGUUUCUAAUUUCUGAAGUUACGUGGAAUUGAUUGAAUUUAGCGAAUUUGGUGCAUAUUGCGGGAUUCACGAAGACGCUUAUGAUGUCUCUUCAAGAUGACGACCAAUAUUUAUGAAACUUCACUUUCACUUUCUUCAAUUUGGUUUAAAGAAAUCUUUAAUUGAUUCAUCUUCGGGUUUCAAACAGACAGGAACAACGCAAAUCAUGGCUAAGCCAACACCAAACGAUGAUGAUACAAAGUUUCAACUUUCAAGACAUUCAUCAAUCCAAUCUCAAACUUCUGAAGCUAUUUAAUCAGCUACAGUGGACAAUGAAAACGAUGGUAUUGUGUAAAUCUCAAGCCUCAAGCCAUUAAAACAUUUUCAGUGCCCGGUUUCAGGGCUUGAGUUCAACGGAAAGUACAAGUUUUUCGCUUAGAGGGGAUGCAGACACGUGAUGAGCGCAAAGGCGUUGAAGGAAGUGAAGUCUUCUUCGUGUUUGGUGUGUCACGCAGAUGUCACAGAUUCUGAUAAGAUUGUGAUAAACGGUACAGAGGAAGGAGGUUGGUAUUUUGAGGGAGAAAGCAGGAGAGGGAGAAAAAAGGCGCCUCAAAGAAGAGCAAAAAUGGCUUAGCCGUGGUGGCUGAUACAGGAGGAAAGGUCGCAAAGAGACAGAUGGAUGAUGUGAAUGUGAAUGGCAAUGGCAUUACUGUGAAGAAAUUCAAGGCGGGAGAUGCAGUGCCGGUUAAUGCUACCAAGGAAGUCUACGCUUCCCUCUUUGCUUCCUCCAAGAAGAAGUCUGAUUUCAGGGAGACUUACUCUUGCAGAUCACUCCCUCUCGGUAGGAAUUGAUUUGGUGGAGACAUGUUGUUACCUGCUUUCCUUUGUAAUUUGCUCUGGUUAUAUUUGAUAUAUCAAUCAAUUUACAUUUGUUAUUUCGAUAUUGGAUAAUCUCAUUUUUUUG